rnacentral:rRNA from 1 species
GAUGAACGCUGGCGGCGUGCCUAAUACAUGCAAGUCGCGCGAACAGACGAGGAGCUUGCUCCUCUGACGUUAGCGGCGGACGGGUGAGUAACACGUGGAUAACCUACCUAUAAGACUGGGAUAACUUCGGGAAACCGGAGCUAAUACCGGAUAAUAUAUUGAACCGCAUGGUUCAAUAGUGAACGACGGUUUUGCUGUCACUUAUAGAUGGAUCCGCGCCGCAUUAGCUAGUUGGUAAGGUAACGGCUUACCAAGGCAACGAUGCGUAGCCGACCUGAGAGGGUGAUCCGACACACUGGAACUGAGACACGGUCCAGACUCCCACGGGAGGCAGCAGUAGGGACACUUCAGCAAUGGGCGAAAGCCUGACGGAGCAACGCCGCGUGAGUGAUGAAGGUCUGCGGAUCGUAAAACUCUGUUAUUGGGGAAGAACAAAUGUGUAAGUAACUAUGCACGUCUUGACGGCCCCUAAUCAGAAAGCCACGGCUCACUACGUG